ACAGUACAUCGCGGGUCACUAUAGUGUCCAAAGUUCAAUUGAUGCACACAUCGGCAACUCUAUCACCGGGGCACAUUUUACAAACGUGGCAGUCUACUUAUUCGAAACGGCUCUAAAAUGAAAGGUCUUUCAAUGGGAAGCGGAGUUUCUCGUAAGGGUGUGGUCGUGAUUGCUGUCAUCUCUGUCGUGGCUGGCAUCUAUAUCAUAUAUAGGAUGAAGAGCAAUUCCGGAAAGCGUCCGAAAGCCUAACACGCCAUGUAAUGCUCAUUAAACAGAGAAGAACUACUGGAAAAGAAAAACACGCGGGGGAAUAUGGAUUUCUUUAUUGUUUGUCAGACUGUAAACUUUGACUUAAGGUGGCUGUUAUCUGUGUCCUAUGGACUGUGAUAUCGGUGAACGAUUAACUAAGUGCGCUCAACAGGUUGUUCUAUGCACACACGUAUACGUGGAUAUAUGCAUUUACGCGUGAAACAAGGCAGUAUAUACACGGUGUUAUUUCCCCAAAAACAAUAAAUUUCAGUUACAUAUGUUUUAUAAAAAGGUUGUUUUAUGA